UACGGGGGGUGCAAGCGUUAUCCGGAUUCACUGGGUUUAAAGGGUGCGUAGGCGGCUUGAUAAGUCAGUGGUGAAAGCCCGCAGCUCAACUGCGGAAUUGCCAUUGAAACUGCCAAGCUUGAAUCUGGUUGAAGUGGGCGGAAUAUAUCAUGUAGCGGUGAAAUGCUUAGAUAUGAUGUAGAACACCGAUUGCGAAGGCAGCUCACUAAGCCAACAUUGACGCUGAGGAGCGAAAGCGUGGGGAGCGAACAGG
rnacentral:rRNA from 1 species